CGGAUCUCUUGGUUCUGGCAUCGAUGAAGAACGCAGCGAAAUGCGAUAAGUAAUGUGAAUUGCAGAAUUCAGUGAACCAUCGAAUCUUUGAACGCACAUUGCGCCCGCCAGCACUCUGGCGGGCAUGCCUGUCCGAGCGUCAUCUC
rnacentral:rRNA from 1 species